rnacentral:rRNA from 1 species
AGCGAACGCUGGCGGCAGGCUUAACACAUGCAAGUCGAGCGGGCAUCUUCGGAUGUCAGCGGCAGACGGGUGAGUAACACGUGGGAACGUACCCUUCGGUUCGGAACAACUCUGGGAAACUGGAGCUAAUACCGGAUACGCCCUUAUGGGGAAAGGGUUACUGCCGAAGGAUCGGCCCGCGUCUGAUUAGCUAGUUGGUGGGGUAACGGCCUACCAAGGCGACGAUCAGUAGCUGGUCUGAGAGGAUGAUCAGCCACACUGGGACUGAGACACGGCCCAGACUCCUACGGGAGGCAGCAGUGGGGAAUAUUGGACAAUGGGCGCAAGCCUGAUCCAGCCAUGCCGCGUGAGUGAUGAAGGCCUUAGGGUUGUAAAGCUCUUUUGUCCGGGACGAUAAUGACGGUACCGGAAGAAUAAGCCCCGGCUAACUUCGUG